GUGGGGAAUCUUCCGCAAUGGACGAAAGUCUGACGGAGCGACGCCGCGUGAGUGAAGAAGGCCUUCGGGUCGUAAAGCUCUGUCAUCAGGGACGAACGGCCGGUGGAGUGGAAAGCCACCGGAUUGUCGGUACCUGAGAAGGAAGCCACGGCUAACUACGUGCCAGCAGCCGCGGUAAUACGUAGGUGGCAAGCGUUGUCCGGAAUUAUUGGGCGUAAAGCGCGCGCAGGUGGGAUCUUAAGUCCAUUUUUAAAGUUCGGAGCUCAACUCCGUGAUGGGAUGGAAACUGGGAUUCUUGAGUACCGGAGAGGAAAGCGGAAUUCCCCGUGUAGCGGUGAAAUGCGUAGAUAUGGGGAGGAACACCAGUGGCGAAGGCGGCUUUCUGGACGGUGUCUGACACUGAGGCGCGAAAGCCAGGGGAGCGAACGGGAUUAGAAACCCGAGUAGUCC
rnacentral:rRNA from 1 species